rnacentral:rRNA from 1 species
UGAGAAACCUGCCCCGAAGUCCGGAAUAACCCUCCGAAAGGAGAGCUAAUACCGGAUACCCCCACCGCAUCGCAUGGUGUGGUGAGGAAAGGAUCCCGCUUUGGGAGGGUCUCGCGGCCUAUCAGCUUGUUGGUGGGGUAACGGCCUACCAAGGCGUCGACGGGUAGCUGGUCUGAGAGGACGAUCAGCCACACUGGGACUGAGACACGCCAGACCUCCGUACGGGAGCAGCAG